GUGUUAAUUUCACCAAAAUCGCUUUUGUUGUCUUUAUUUUGUUGUUUUUAUGGGAAUGUUUUAAGCGGAGACUUUUAUUUUGGUGGUUCGCUGCUACUUCCUGUCUUUUCGCGGCAUCCCCCUCAGUCUCUGUGAGGACUGCCGAGAGGAGGUGUGUGUGGAAGAGUGAGACCCGACGCGACGUUUAUGUGCUGUAUUUUUGUUUUCACACAGGUAUGUGAGCAUUUAUUUUCAUCAGAUAUAUUUCAUUACCUUUUGCUUUUUAUUAAUUGAUUUAUAUUUGUUUGGGGUAUAUUUUAACACAGUGUUAUUUGUAUUGAUGUUUUGUAAUUUGAAAUGAUACAAAAAUGCCAUUCAAUGAGCGGAAGUGUGCUAUAUAUGUACUUUUGUAAUAUGUGGAGUCUCUGUGAGGACUGCCGAGAGGAGGUGUGUGUGGAAGAGUGAGACCCGACGCGACGUUUAUGUGCUGUAUUUUUGUUUUCACACAGUAAAUCCCCUUAAAUGGAUGGCAAUCCCUGUGUGAGACUCUUUAUUCAUAGAAAACACAACGCAGAAGAUUUUAGCUGAUGCUGCACUCGCCGAGAGUGCGCCCGGCUACAUUGGUGGUAAGGGAAAGCUAGUUGCUCUACUGGAACAGUACAAUGACAUUUUUUCUAAACAUCCACUAGAUUGCGGUGAGGCAAAAGGUUUUGUGCAUCGUAUCAGGCUUACAGACGAAAGACCGGUCCGAAUGCCCUACCGGCGAGUAUCACCUGCCCACUACCAGAAAUUACGACAAGUGUUGUCUGAAAUGGAGGAGCAAGACAUCAUAAGGAAAUCGGUGGCUGAAUGCCAAGACUUUCAAAGAUGCACACCCACUCCCGCAUCAGUCAGACUGCUUAGCUGCUCUAGGCGGAAAUGCCUAUUUUAGCACAAUGGACUUGACCUC